GAUGAACGCUAGCGACAGGCUUAACACAUGCAAGUCGAGGGGCAGCAUAAAAGUAGCAAUACUUUGGUGGCGACCGGCGCACGGGUGAGUAACGCGUAUGCAACCUACCUAUCAGAGGGGAAUAACCCGGCGAAAGUCGGACUAAUACCGCAUAAAACAGGGGCACCGCAUGGUGAUAUUUGUUAAAGAAAUUCGCUGAUAGAUGGGCAUGCGUUCCAUUAGGUAGUUGGUGAGGUAACGGCUCACCAAGCCGACGAUGGAUAGGGGAACUGAGAGGUUGGUCCCCCACACUGGUACUGAGACACGGACCAGACUCCUACGGGAGGCAGCAGUGAGGAAUAUUGGUCAAUGGGCGGGAGCCUGAACCAGCCAAGUCGCGUGAAGGAAGAAGGAUCUAUGGUUCGUAAACUUCUUUUGCAGGGGAAUAAAGUGCAGGACGUGUCCUGUUUUGUAUGUACCCUGAGAAUAAGGAUCGGCUAACUCCGUGCCAGCAGCCGCGGUAA
rnacentral:rRNA from 1 species